rnacentral:lncRNA from 1 species
UAAUAUCAUUUUUCUCAUGACUUCCGAUUUGCAGACAUCAGAGAAGGAAAAAUGCUGGCAGAGAAGUCCUUGGAUGCAGCAGAGCAACAGCCUCAUCUACUGCCUGCAUGCCUUUGUGUGUCUCCAGAGUUGAGGGAGGGUGGUGUGAUAUGGAGGAGAGAGCUGGCCUAUGGCCUCAUGGAUCUUCAGUCAAACCCUAGCUCUGUGAUUCAUAAGCUGUAUGAUCCCUGGGAAAUUAGAGAACCUCUCUGAUCCUGUUUCCUCUUUGUAAAAUAAAUGAUCUGGACCAAAUCUCUAAAACUCUUUCAAACCUAAAGACUUCCUAAGCUGCAAGACUCAGGAAUGCCAACUGGGGCAUAUGAAAGCAUCUUCCUCACCCCACCCAUACAAUACAUUACCUGUAUUGGUCAGUGGCCUUUCUUCCAGGAAGAUAAAGAAUAUAUUGCACAUGAAUUAUGUCAUUUUAAUAAAAAUAAUAGUUUUUAAUA